GCAUAACGCGAAGAACCUUACCAAGGCUUGACAUACACCAGAACACCCUAGAAAUAGGGACUCUUUGACACUGGAGACAGGUGCUGCAUGGCUGCCGUCAGCUCGUGUCGUGAGAUGUUGGGUUAAGUCCCGCAACGAGCGCAACCCUCGUCACUAGUUACUAACGGUUCGGCCGAGGACUCUAGUGAGACUGCCUUCGUAAGGAGGAGGAAGGUGAGGACGACGUCAAGUCAUCAUGGCCCUUACGGCCAGGGCGACACACGUGCUACAAUGGGAUGUACAAUGAGACGCAAUACCGCGAGGUGGAGCAAAUCUAUAAAACAUCUCUCAGUUCGGAUUGUAGUCUGCAACUCGACUACAUGAAGCUGGAAUCACUAGUAAUCGUAGAUCAGCCAUGCUACGGUGAAUACGUUCCCGGGUCUUGUACACACCG
rnacentral:rRNA from 1 species